ACUCAAAUGAAUUGACGGGGACUCGCACAAGCAGAGGAUCAUGUGGUUUAAUUCGAUGGUAAACGAAGAACCUUACCAGGGUUGGAAAUUUAGCUGAAGACGAGCAGAAACGUUCGUCGCCGCAAGGCAGCUAGACAGGUGCUGCAUGGUCGUCGUCAGUUCGUGGUUUGAAUUGUUCCCUUCAGUGGGGUAACGAACGCAACCCUCAUUGCCUGUUACAAGUGUCAGGCGAGACUGCCCAGCUUUCUGCACACAAGCCUCCUAAAAAGAGCGCUUGCGAAUAGGAAGCUGGGAGGAAGGUGAGGAUGACGCCAGAUCAGCAUGGCCCUUUGAUACCCUGGGCUACACACGUGAUACAAUGCUAUCUACAACGCGAUGCGACGGCGAGAGCCUGAGCCAAUCGUUAUAAAGGAUAGCCUAGUUCGGAUAGGAGUCUGCAACUCGACUCCUUGAAGCUGGAUUUGCUAGUAAUCUCGGGUCAGCUAUACCGAGGUGAAUACGUUCUCGAGUCUUGUACACACCGCCCGU
rnacentral:rRNA from 1 species